AACGUAGGUGGCGAGCGUUAUCCGGAUUUACUGGGCGUAAAGGGUGUGCAGGCGGGCGGUUAAGUGGUGCAUGAAAGCCACAGGCUCAACCUGUGGAGGCUGUGCCAGACUGACGGUCUAGAGUGCGAGAGAGGGCGAUGGAAUUCCGGGUGUAGUGGUGAAAUGCGUAGAGAUCCGGAGGAACACCAGAGGCGAAGGCGGUCGCCUGGCUCGCAACUGACGCUGAG
rnacentral:rRNA from 1 species